CGAACACUCUUUACUGCUACACGAUACUUUUUCCACGAGAUAGAAAAUGACUAGAUCUACCAUGUCUGUUGUUUACCUCAUUCUAGUCCUUGGCUUGUUCUCUUGUGCAAAUGGUGAAUGUUGGACAUCCGAUUGUACAGAUGAAAUAAAACCAGUCUGUGGGAGUGAUGACAGGACCUACCUCAAUG